GACGAACGCUGGCGGCGUGCUUAACACAUGCCAGUCGAACGGAAAGGCCCUGCUUUUGUGGGGUGCUCGAGUGGCGAACGGGUGAGUAACACGUGAGUAACCUGCCCUUGACUUUGGGAUAACUUCAGGAAACUGGGGCUAAUACCGGAUAGGAGCUCCUGCUGCAUGGUGGGGGUUGGAAAGUUUCGGCGGUUGGGGAUGGACUCGCGGCUUAUCAGCUUGUUGGUGGGGUAGUGGCUUACCAAGGCUUUGACGGGUAGCCGGCCUGAGAGGGUGACCGGCCACAUUGGGACUGAGAUACGGCCCAGACUCCUACGGGAGGCAGCAGUGGGGAAUAUUGCACAAUGGGCGGAAGCCUGAUGCAGCAACGCCGCGUGCGGGAUGACGGCCUUCGGGUUGUAACCGCUUUCGCCUGUGACGAAGCGUGAGUGACGGUAAUGGGUAAAGAAGCACCGGCUAACUACGUG
rnacentral:rRNA from 1 species